rnacentral:rRNA from 1 species
UAAGCGGUUGAAGGUGUGUGGUAACGCAUGCUGGACGUAUCAGAAGUGCGAAUGCUGACAUGAGUAACGAUAAAGGGGGUGAAAAACCUCCUCGCCGGAAGACCAAGGGUUCCUGUCCAACGUUAAUCGGGGCAGGGUAAGUCGACCCCUAAGGCGAGGCCGAAAGGCGUAGUCGAUGGGAAACGGGUUAAUAUUCCCGUACUUCUUACAAUUGCGAUGGGGGGACGGAGAAGGCUAGGUGGGCCUGGCGACGGUUGUCCAGGUUCAAGUGCGUAGGCUUAAGAGUUAGGUAAAUCCGGCUCUUUUUAAGGCUGAGACACGACGUCGAGCUACUACGGUAGUGAAGUCAUUGAUGCCAUGCUUCCAGGAAAAGCCUCUAAGCUUCAGAUUGUAAGGAAUCGUACCCCAAACCGACACAGGUGGUCGGGUAGAGAAUACCAAGGCGCUUGAGAGAACUCGGGUGAAGGAACUAGGCAAAAUGGUACCGUAACUUCGGGAGAAGGUACGCUCUCGACGGUGAAGUCCCUCGCGGAUGGAGCUAUUGAGAGUCGCAGAUACCAGGUGGCUGCAACUGUUUAUUAAAAACACAGCACUGUGCAAAAUCGUAAGAUGACGUAUACGGUGUGACGCCUGCCCGGUGCCGGAAGGUUAAUUGAUGGGGUUAGACUUCGGUCGAAGCUCUUGAUCGAAGCCCCGGUAAACGGCGGCCGUAACUAUAACGGUCCUAAGGUAGCGAAAUUCCUUGUCGGGUAAGUUCCGACCUGCACGAAUGGCGUAAUGAUGGCCACGCUGUCUCCACCCGAGACUCAGUGAAAUUGAAAUCGCUGUGAAGAUGCAGUGUACCCGCGGCUAGACGGAAAGACCCCGUGAACCUUUACUACAGCUUGGCACUGAACAUUGACCCUACAUGUGUAGGAUAGGUGGGAGGCUUUGAAGCACGUACGCCAGUAUGUGUGGAGCCGUCCUUGAAAUACCACCCUUGUAGUGUUGAUGUUCUAACGUCGACCCCUUAUCGGGGUUGCGGACAGUGCCUGGUGGGUAGUUUGACUGGGGCGGUCUCCUCCCAAAGAGUAACGGAGGAGCACGAAGGUGGGCUAAUCACGGUUGGACAUCGUGAGGUUAGUGCAAUGGCAUAAGCCCGCUUGACUGCGAGAAUGACAAUUCGAGCAGGUGCGAAAGCAGGUCAUAGUGAUCCGGUGGUUCUGAAUGGAAGGGCCAUCGCUCAACGGAUAAAAGGUACUCCGGGGAUAACAGGCUGAUACCGCCCAAGAGUUCAUAUCGACGGCGGUGUUUGGCACCUCGAUGUCGGCUCAUCACAUCCUGGGGCUGAAGUCGGUCCCAAGGGUAUGGCUGUUCGCCAUUUAAAGUGGUACGCGAGCUGGGUUUAGAACGUCGUGAGACAGUUCGGUCCCUAUCUGCCGUGGGCGUUGGAAGAUUGAAGGGGGCUGCUCCUAGUACGAGAGGACCGGAGUGGACGAACCUCUGGUGUUCGGGUUGUGUCGCCAGACGCAUUGCCCGGUAGCUAAGUUCGGAAUCGAUAACCGCUGAAAGCAUCUAAGCGGGAAGCGAGCCCUGAGAUGAGUCUUCCCUGAUACUUUAAGUAUCCUAAAGGGUUGUCGGAGACUACGACGUUGAUAGGUCAGGUGUGUAAGUGCUGUGAGGCAUUGAGCUAACUGAUACUAAUUGCCCGUGAGGCUUAACCAU